ACCGACACAGGUGGUCAGGUAGAGAAUACCAAGGCGCUUGAGAGAACUCGGGUGAAGGCAAAAUGGUGCCGUAACUUCGGGAGAAGGCACGCUGACAUGUAGGUGAAGCGGUGGAGCUGAAGUCAGUCGAAGAUACCAGCUGGCUGCAACUGUUUAUUAAAAACUGUGCAAACACGAAAGUGGACGUAUACGGUGUGACGCCUGCCCGGUGCCGGAUUGAUGGGGUUAUCGCAAGAGAAGCUCCUGAUCGAAGCCCCGGUAAACGGCGCUAUAACGGUCCUAAGGUAGCGAAAUUCCUUGUCGGGUAAGUUCCGACCUGCACGUAAUGAUGGCCAGGCUGUCUCCACCCGAGACUCAGUGAAAUUGAACUCGCUUGCAGUGUACCCGCGGCAAGACGGAAAGACCCCGUGAACCUUUACUACAGCUUAACAUUGAGCCUUGAUGUGUAGGAUAGGUGGGAGGCUUUGAAGCGUGGACGCCGUGGAGCCGACCUUGAAAUACCACCCUUUAAUGUUUGAUGUUCUAACCUGGCGCCGGCGUGGGGACAGUGUCUGGUGGGUAGUUUGACUGGGGCGGUCUCCUCCCAACGGAGGAGCACGAAGGUCAGCUAAUCCUGGUCGGACAUCAGGAGGUUAGUGCUAAGCUGGCUUGACUGCGAGAGUGACGGCUCGAGCAGGUGCGAAAGCAGGUCACCGGUGGUUCUGUAUGGAAGGGCCAUCGCUCAACGGAUAAAAGGUACUCCGGGGGCUGAUACCGCCCAAGAGUUCAUAUCGACGGCGGUGUUUGGCACCUCGAUGUUCACAUCCUGGGGCUGAAGUAGGUCCCAAGGGUAUGGCUGUUCGCCAUUUAAAGCGAGCUGGGUUUAGAACGUCGUGAGACAGUUCGGUCCCUAUCUGCCGUGGGCAAUUGAGGGGGGCUGCUCCCAGUACGAGAGGACCGGAGUGGACGCAUCACUGGGUUGUCAUGCCAAUGGCACUGCCCGGUAGCUAAAUGCGGAAGAGAUAAGUGCUUCUAAGCACGAAACUUGCCCCGAGAUGAGUUCUCCCUGAGACUGUAAGUCUCCACGUUGAAGACGACGACGUUGAUAGGCCGGGUGUGUAAGCGCAGCGAUGCGUUCCGGUACUAAUGAACCGUGAGGCUUAACCUU
rnacentral:rRNA from 1 species